UACAGAGGUCCCAAGCGUUGUUCGGAUUCAUUGGGCGUAAAGGGUGCGUAGGCGGCGCGGUAAGUCGGGUGUGAAAUCUCGGGGCUUAACUCCGAAACUGCAUUCGAUACUGCCGUGCUUGAGGACUGGAGAGGAGACUGGAAUUUACGGUGUAGCGGUGAAAUGCGUAGAUAUCAGGAGGAACACCGGUGGCGAAGGCGGCUCUCUGGUCCAUUUCUGACGCUGAGGUGCGAAAGCUAGGGGAGCAAACGGG
rnacentral:rRNA from 1 species